rnacentral:lncRNA from 1 species
UCUCUUCUUUUUCUGCUGAUUUCUUCUCUUCUUCAAUGUUUUCAACCUCCUGUUCGACCACUGAUUCUUCUUCAACUGCCUUCUCGAUUUUUUCUUCUUCUUCUUCUACUGAUUUCUUUUCACUAUCUUCUUUUGUUUUCUCCUCAUUUUCUUCUUCUGCUUCAACUGUCAUCUCCUCAUCUAUUUCUUUUUUUUCUUCAUUUGCUGCAUUCUCCUCUUCCGUUUCUUCUUCUUUCUUCUCUU